AUAUGAAGACUUUGAAAAGUUUGGAAAUGUUGAAUAAUGCGCACAAGAUGUGAGGUUGCAAUAAGCUUGGACCUACAGAAAUAGCUCCCUCACACUCAGUUGAUUACUUGAGUUGCUACGACAUGCUCCACCAUGUAAACCUUUGAGUCAAACCAUUUGUAAUGCCCACGUACCUCUUGGUUAAUCAGACAUGAUAAAUUUUUUAGUCACUUCAUUUACAUUUUAUUACAUGAAAAUAUCAAAGCAUAAAACUAACAUGAAAACAAAGCUCAACUUUGGGUCCCAUCAGACUAUCACACAUUUGUGUGUCUAUCAUCAGCCUUAGACUCUCCAAGCAUUAAAGGAAAAACUCUUUAAAACCCUUAUUAGGGGAAAAAGGAGAAACCUUUAGGUAGGCCAAGUCAAAGAGAGAUCCCCUACCAGGACGGCUGAGCAUGCGACGUGUGUGUGUGUGUGUGUGUGUUGGGAGGGUUUUGGGAGUCUCUGGUUCAUGAGUGACUCGCCAGUGAAUAGCCAGGUGACAAAGGGCAGUGACUGCCUGGAGUUAACCUGCUCUUGGUCCUGAAGAAGGGGUUAGCUGUCUUUGGGGUUUGCAUCGGGAGUUCUGCAGAAAUUCCUUUCUUUGCUUUGGAAGUGAGUCCUGUCUCCAGCUGGAUGACUGACAGCAACAGUCGUGUCUUUGUUGUGUUGAACUCUCCAUUUGCAGAAGAAGUAGACUCUUUCAAAGUAGACUGCUGUUAAGAUAAAAAGGAAAAUGUUACGAUAAAACAACAUGAACCAACUGUGCAUUUAAUCACCAACAGAAGACACGAGUCCAAACGUUAAGAAUAAACUCUACUUACAGAUAUGAGUCGCAGAGUAGAGCUGCUACUGAGUCGCUUCAGUUGAACUCUCCAUGCAGACCCUCAACCCGACACAGGCCAAGUGAGAAAAGAGCAGCAGCAAUUAGUCACAUACAUGGUUUUCACAUUAUAAGUUCCAUCAACUGUUUAAGGUGUGCAUGCAAUUAAAUUUAUAAAUUGUACUUACAAAA